UUUUUUUUUUUUUUUUUUUUUUUUUUUUUUUUUUUUUUUUUUUUUUUUUUUUUUUUGCAAGACUCCGAAUGCGAUUGAAGAAGCGAGGACGACACGCAGGUCUGA
rnacentral:ribozyme from 1 species